CUUUAGAGUGUCACUGGGACUCCAACCUUUCCUGUCUUCCUCCUUGAUAUCAUGAGGUAGGCUUCUUACUCCACCGCACAGGAAGCAGGACAUGUGACCACACACUGAAUCAUCCAAAGCUGAAAGCCAAAGUAACUGUUUCUUCCUGUGAGUCAUCUGUUCAGUUGUCACAGUGAAGGGAAUCUGACAGACAUGUUCAUCUUCUUGAUUGUGUAUGGCAUUGGAUUGAAUCACGGACCAAAAUAAAAUGUUAGGCAAGGAUAAAUAUUUGUCAGUGGGAGGCGGGGGUUGGGAGGGCGGUUACCCCUGAACAUAUAAGGCAUGCCUAAAGUUUUCCCAAAUCGAGUUCCUGGAAUGAACACUUGGGCUCUUAGAGAGACUAUUCUAGAGGUGAAAAUGCUCAUUAAAAUUUAAAAGGAAACAACAAACUAUCAUUUAUUGUUUUCUGGCCUCAUUUCUAUCCAGGCUUACACAUGCACUCUGUUUCCAGGAAGAAUUGUUCAAGGGAAAGAAGGCAAUCUAUAAAGAAGAAAAUAAAGAGCUGAUGGCGGAAAACAGCAAGAGGAUGAAGAGGAGAUAAAGGAUGAAGGAUGGAGAGGGAGGAGGAGGAGGAAGCGAGCUUUCGAAUGUUUGGAAUGGAUGUUGACUGACUAGCAGAGCUUUGGGCUGCAUGAAUUUCUCGUAGUUGCAUCCCCAAGAUCGGCCAAAGGAGUUCUGUGGCAUGGCAAGGUGUGGCGAAGGCAAGCACAGGCUCCCACCCUUCCCCCACCCUCAGGAGGCUCCUCCCUAGCCACACAGCAGUUGUCCAGAGCCUACACCUCUGCUGCCAUCGCUGUGCCGAGCAUCAGUUUGGUUCUCAUCAUACCAUUAGUUCCAGGCGCAUCUGCUCCAGGAUUUCUCCCUGCCCCUGUGGCGCAUCCAUCUCCAUCUUGUUCACGUUUUAUUACCCUCGCCUAAAUGUUAGCGAGCCUUAUCAAGUCCUGCAAGCAUCGGGGCACUGUGCCAGGAGGCCGGCAGGCCUUCGACCCCGCUCCCUGUGGUUUGAGGCUCCACUUAGAGCUUUAAUUUCCAGUCCCUGUAAUUCAGGACCACAAAGGGCCAUGCUGAAAUAACUCCCUUACUUCCCAAAGGCAGCUGGCCAGUAGCCACUCAGUUACUGAGUUGAGUGCAGGACCCCUGCCUCUCUUGGGAGCCAAACAAAGCCUCUGACUUUCUCUCUGCCUCUUUUGCACACUCCAGAGCCUGUGACAGGGAAUGCUGUUUCCAUUGGCCAGGGGCCCUGGCAGGGCUCCCCAAGGCAAUUUUCCAGCCCUAUAUUCGGUGGAGAACCUGAAAGGCUGCUGUUGCCAAUUGAGCCCUGCCGGACUGGGGGAGGGUGGCUCCAAAUCUUCCAGCCAUUGGCUCUCAAACCUCUGGAGUGCAAGGAUCCUUUGAAAGGGAGAAGAAAGAAGACACAAUUAAGAACAGAAUUCAAAACAACAGAAAUCUCAUUCGGUGCAAAUCGCCUCUACUUGCAGAUAAGUACUCUGAAAGAGCUGUCUGUAAAGCAAGUCCCAUUCUGAGCAGGCCUGAAGCCAGGCACAGUUUGGCUAUAGAUCUAGGAAAGUUUAGAAUUUCCCUGCAAUAAGCCAGCAUGCGCUCCCUGCUCAGUACAUCUAACAAACACACCUCCUCCUGGUGCUGACCAUAUCUCACCUAAAAGGUGGUGUCUGGCACCUUUUUCAACCCUGACAAUGGUCUCCUGAGCCUGGCAGGGCUCCUCCAGGUUCUCAGGUGAAUAGGGCUUCAGUCCCAACUCUAAAGUUGACCCACAGGCAUUGAUUGCUGGGGGCAGGUUAGAAAGGGACCAACUGCAGCUCCCACCCUGAGAUUUCUGAGUUAUAACUCCCAGGAAUCGUUUCCAUUUUGCAAAGACAUUUAUGGAAGGGGGUCAGGUAUGCUAAAAAACACAUGGGAAUCUCUGUAACAAAUUACAAUCAGCCCGAGUGCGGUGAUUCUGCAUCUGUGGCUUUAACUAUGGACAGCUGUCUGAAAAUAUCCAGAAAAAUAUAAUGGAUCAAGCAUAUGCAAGCUUUUUAUUUCUUGGCAUCAUUCCCUGAACAAUACAGUAGAACAACUAUCUGCACAGAGUUUACAUUAGGUCUUUUAAGUAAUGGAGCCAUGAUUAAAGCAUACAGGAUUGUGUGCACAGGCUGUACGCAAAUAUUGUACCAUGUUAGAGUCGGUACUAGAGCAUGGGUAGAGUUUUGGUAGCAGCUCUAAGCUCUGACCUGCUGAUAGUUGCUGUUUCCCACACUUCUAUUUUCUUUACCUUCGAGUUUCUUGUCAUGGAAAAUUUUUCUUUUUUUUAAAAAAAGUAUCUGAUCAAAUAAAUAUAUUACUUUCACCAUAUUUACUGUGGAUUUUUCAUCAUAAGAUUCUUAUGUUAUAGAGUAGAGAUGAAUUUCAAAGGAAGGGAGAGAGAGAGAGAGAGAGAGAGAGAGAGAGAGAGAGAGAGAGAGAGAGAGAGGUGAGAGGAACCCCAGAGCCCUAGGAUUGAAGCAAAAAGAAGGGCUGCCUGCAAGGACACUUGAGGAAGGCUCCAUUGGUGGUGAUCUAAUCAUGGGCUGCCCACCUGGGGGGAGAGUGGAGGUUGAGCUGGGGCAGGUGUUGAGCUUCAGGGUACCUAAGCCUCUGUUAACUCUGUGGAGCAGAGUAGUGCUGUCACACCAGAGUGUCCAGCCAGGCUGUACUCUCUUCUCAGACCAGGAGGAAAAGAAGGAAGGGGACCCUGUUCCCCGAGCUAAGUCCUAUCUACAUGGGUCUGAUUUAGAAUGGGGGAAAAAUGAUUCCAGGUCAGAAACCACUGAGGUGUGCCCUUGAACUGACUUCAACUUUGGAAAGGAGAGCCAGCCCCACGUUACAGAAUCUGACCGAGAUAGUAUCGAUGGAGGCAUGACCCAGCUGGAGCCAAGAUUCCAUCCUAGUAAUUUAGGGUGGUGAUUGGAAAGGUCAAAGCCAUUGGCUUGUGUUCUGAUAGAUAUCAUGGCCAAAACCUUAUGGAGCAAUGGAAGAUCGAAGAGGUUCAAUGGCUUUCCCAAGUUCCCCUUCUGCUAAAGGUAUGACUAGAGUGGCAGAGCAGCUGUUGGCUGCUUCCAAACUCACGCUGAUGCUACUCCUGUGUCUUUUUAAGAUGUGGCUUUGGCUGGCACAGUGGAACUGUCCGAAGGCAUGUUUCCCUUUCAACAGUCCUCUUUUGGAUAUUAAGGUUAAGCAUACAAUCCUAUGGGUUAGUGGAAAAGAGGGACCAAGCGCUUGGGAAAAACUGCCCAGAUGGAGAGCAGGCUUCCACCGGAGGCUUGAAAAAGCAAUGCAGAGUACUUUGCCUCUGGAGGACAAAAGGGAUAUUAAAAACAAUUCCCUAGUGGUUCCACAAUCCAAAACUCGAGAUUGAAAUCAUUUGCUUGACAGCUAAUUAAUUUAGAAGAAUCAGUCACUAAUACCUGAGGCAAAUAUCCCUCGGGCAAGUACAUAUAUUCACAUCUGGAAACAUAAUAGGACUAAUCUCUGAGAGUCUGGCCGCCAAAAGGAAUGCUGGGGUUAAAAGGGUUGUAGCCAUAGCGGUAGAACAAACAUCUGGAACAAAGUGUGGUGCCCUUGGCUGAGACGGAGUCACCAACUCAGACGAGGGAAAGCCAGAGGUGUUUGUGUAUAACUCAGCCUGUUUCUCCAAAGGUCUCUUAUGCUCUGCUGAUAGUCAUAGUAUCUCAGUCAUUAAAGCCAGCAACGAUUGUCUGAGUGCCCCACCCCACCCCCACCCCCAGCAUUGAGAACUGAGGGAGAAGCAAGCAAGCAAAACCAACAACAGCCAGACAAAAACCCUCAGUGGCUAUGCAGUAAAUGACACAAAAAGCCCUCCAUCCAAAGCAUGGUACACUUGUCAAGAUGGGAGUUAGGAGAUGAGCUUGGUGUAGUGGGCCACACCUGUAAGCCCAGCAUUUGGAGAGGGUGACAGAGAGAUUGUGAGUUCAAGACCAGCCUCAGCUGUAUAAUGAGGGACUGUCUCUAAAAACCAGGGGCUCAGUUGGAAACCCUUUGCCUGGUGUUGCAUAAGACCCCAGUAGCAUCUUCAGCAUGUGAAAAAAGUGAAGCUGUGGUAUAUGAAAUAGAGAAAAGCUAUGUAGAGCAAGAGAUUGACACUAGUAUGGUUUGUGUGGAAACUCAGAGGACAGAGAGAACAUCAAGGAAAUGGGUUGGGGAGAUGGAUGAGAGCUCUCUUCCAGGGAGCAGACAACAGUUGGUCACUUGGUGACACAGCUAAAACUGCAUUUCCCAGCCUGCUCUGUGGAUGAGUGUGUCUACCAUGUGACCUCAGUUUGGAUAACAGGCUAUGAAAUAGGUAGGACUCUGGGGCUGGCCCUUAGAGGAAAGGAGUGCUCCCCUCCCCACCUCUUUCCUCCCUCCUAUGUUGCAUAUACAAAAAUAGACCAGCUAAAGAACUCAUCCGGGGCUCUAGAGAGGAAUUUGUUUUGGGCUUUGCAGAGGCUUCCACAAGUCUGUGCAUAGCUACGUGAAAAAGAAAUGAACUUCCAACAGUUGGAUACUGCCCCUUGGGCGGUCCAUGAUGCUGACAACUAACAUGCCCAGAGAGGGAGAGGAAGGUGUUGGUGAAAAACAGGAAGGCCCUAGAGGAGGCCACAGUCUAAUUGGGUAAUACAAUUGUGAACUUCUAACAAGGAGAAAGUGGGAAGGGCACUGGAGUUGAACAUAGCAUGUAUACCAGCCCCCUUCUAGGAAGAGGUCUGCUGUGUGCUAGAGAAGGCUGGCAUGUGCCAAGGCUCCACAGGCCUGGUCUUGUCUCUGCGUUAUAUUCAAAGGAACACUCGGUGCAGCCACCAAAAGUCAGGCACAAGCAAUUUCAGUCUCUGCUUUCUUCCUUCAGGAACAUUUAAAAGGGGCCAAGAGUUGGCCCUGCAGAGCAAUGGUGGAAUAAAUUCCCUUUCCUCUCUGGUUUUCACCUUCUGCAGCAGCCCCAGGGCCCACCACUCCCUCCCAAAUGCGCAGCUUGCUCUCUCUCCCUCAGCCUCCUUCUCUUUAUCAGGUGUCUGCCCUGGGGUGAGCAUGCAGCUCUCCCAACUCUGCAGGAAUCCAAGUGUGCAGGCAGCUUCUGAUACUCUGGUUUGAGUGUGGUGACACUUGAUCCCAUUAUGAGCUAUUAAGACAGAGAAAACUUAAUCUCACUGUGGUACAUAGAGGCAGACUCCUGCCUGGGGAUUACAAUUAAGUAUCACCUUCAGGGUGGGGCCUGGGGAUUGAGUCCUGGUGGUUUUAUAGAGUAGGGAGAGAGACAGAAAACACACUCUUCUUAGAUGAUAUCCAGCCCUCAUUUUAGGACUCUGCCAAGAAGGCAAUGGCCAGCUAGGUGCAUCCAGAGCUGUGAAAGAGUGAUGCCUCUUUUCUUUAUAAAGCUACCCAGCCCCAGAUUUUUCAAUGCAGUUGUGAGUAUAUAGAUAGAUACGGAUAGUAAGGGGAUCUGGGAAAAUCAAUGAAGUUGUUUUUUGCAGGAGGGAUUCUCUACCUUUCUUCAGUAGUUUUACAGGUCUCUACAUAGUUUUCUGGAGAAGUCUCCCUUCUUUAAGGGAUGGGUGCUCCGAGGGAAGCCAACAUCUGCAGAAGCCUUUUAAGCUCUCAUUGUGUUAGCACAGGGUGCUCUGUGGGACAGGAGCCAGUCUCCUGGGAUCUGGGGACAGAGCUUGGCGUUGCAACUGGGCUGUGGUACAGGGCACAGUCACAUCACCCAUUUCCCCAGAGGCUGCGUUCACAUCAAUCUACCCUUGACCUAAGUCCCAGUGAUUAGCCAAAAGACCACCAGCUGCAUCAGUGAUGCUAGAUCAGAGUCAACACCAUUCUUCAGGCGUGUGUCAUCUGUUCUGUGCAUUUAUCACAGUGCGGUUCACAAGAGUCAAGACAGAGAGUCAUCCUAAGUUCUGCUGAUGGACAUAGGGAUAAAGAAACUGUGACUCAUACACAGGAAUAUUACUCAGUCUUGAAGAGGAGGAAAUUCCCUGAGUUGUGACAGCAUGGACAAACCUGGAGGACAUUGUGCUCAGAACGUCACAUCAGGACCUCAGAGAUGGAUUUGAGAUCACUAAAUCCUACUUAUUACUCAUUAUAAUGUGCCCACAGUGGGUGACUCUGUGUUCUUCACUAUUAAUUGCCUGUUUAAAUUGUCCUACUGAGUUCAGGUGCAGACUGCAGCUUGUUUGGGCUGCAAAGGCUCUGCUCCAACCCUAUGACAACUCAAACAACCCCUCCAACACACUGAAGAACAGAGAGACCAGAGCCAAGAAGGUGUGGUUUGCUCUGGAUGGUAGAAUUACAGGUGUGUCCAUUUACUCUCCUUUCCGCUGUGUUUAAUUGCUGUGGAGGAUUUUUCCUCUGAAUGAUGGUGCCACCCUGUGACAACAUUCUAAAAAAAGAAAAAAAACAAAAAACAAAAAACAAACAUCUGUUGACCUUGUUGAAAGAGGAAAAACACAGAGGACCAGUAGAUGGAUGGACCUACACAGUGUUCAACAUGCUGUACUCAAGUGGCCAGAGGAGAUUGGGAGAGGGUACUCUAGACCUGUGAAGAAAGGAUUUGGGGAACAUGUGCCCCAAAUUUGCUCAGGGCCUAGAGUGAGCACUUGUUGCUGUCUUAUGAUUUCUGUAUCUAAAAUCAGUUCUUUUUUUUUUCUCAUGGGAAUUUUUUAAGUAAACAUUACAUUAAGAUCCCUGCAAAGAUUUCAAGCCACCAUCUGUGUGGCUGUUUAUUUUCUCUCGGCUGAAGUGAUAAUUGCCUGUCUGUGGCAUUGAGCCUACUGCCACGGUGAUUAUCAUAUCAUCAACAGAACAUUAAACCCUCAGGUAAGGGGGGACCUUCAGGUAAGGCAGAGGCAUGGGAGCCCCCCCACACACAACCACCCACCAGGAAACCAGAAUUUGAGCUUCCUGCAAAUGUCAAAGUUAAUAAGGGACAAGAGCAAAGAAUGACUUGUGACUAUCAGAGCUUCUGUUGUCUGCCCCAAAUGGACUCACACAGCAUGUUGCUGUGUCCCUGUUUCCCAUUAACUCUACCAGUAAAGGAAAUGUGUGUCUCUAACACCAAACUGGCGAGUUAGUUUAGACUGCAGGAAAUGAAAGGCCCGCUGUGGCCUGGGAACUCAAGAGGCAGUCCUACACUACAGGACAAAGGUCCAGGACUGGCCCUCGGUCACGCAUUUGCACCCAGAAUCAAUGUAACCAGACUCUCUGUAUGACGUGAGGGGCCAUGAGUCUGCAAUUUGCCAAUGUCCUCAGAACAGCCUUUUGCAUAGUAAACUCUGAUAAAUACCAUGUGGGGUGUUAAAAAGGAAGGACUGGGAAGAGGAGGAGCAUUGAUCAUUGAGACUGAUAGAGAUACUAGCAAAGAGGGUUGAGAAUGCUGACCUCCACAUUGCCCACUUGGUAAUUCACAAAACAUUGCAUUUAUUGAGCUUCUGACUCAGGGCCCAGGGAACAUGUCGGUGAUUCCUGUCUGGGAAAACACAUAAAACUUGACAACGUCACCAGAAAUAACAUUUGCAGGGUGCUAAAGGUCAUAACAGGUAUAAAUAAAUGCCUGGAAAAUGGGGAAAGAGCUGGGAACUAAAGUGUGGUCUUGUGAUGCAUGGCUACCUCCAUUGCCCCUCCCCAACUCCACAAUUCUGUUGGCAAAGUGGCAGGUUGAUCAUAGGGACUGACAGCUAAAAGCUAGUGUUGCUGCCACAAUUGACACUGUGGGAACCUGUGGUUGGGGUUCAGAUGAGAAUGAAGAAAGUAAGAGCUGGGAUUACUUAAAGACAGGCCUUGUCUUAAGGUCAGUCUGUAUAAAUUUAGUGGGAGCCAGGCUUUUUAAAUAAGAAUGGCUCCUAUAGGCUCAUAUAUUUGAAUGUUCAGUUAUCAGGGAGUGGCACUAUUUGAAAGGAUUAGAGGGUAUGACCUCAUUGAAUAGUAUGUCCCUCAUACUUCCUGUUGGAGGAAGUAUGUCACUGAGGGUGGGUUACGAUGUUCCAAGAGCUCAAGCGAGUCCCAAUGUCUCUCUCUUCCUGCUGCCUGUGGAUCUAGAUGUAGAACUCUCAGCUACUUCUCCAGCACCGUGUCUGCCUGAUCACUGGCAUCCUCCGUUCUGUGAAGAUAAUGAACUGAAGUUGUAAAUAAGCCCCAAUUAAAUGCUUUCCUUUAUAAGAGUUGCCAUGGUCAUGGUUUCUCUUCACAACAAUAAAACAGUGACUAAGACAUGCUGUAUUGGUUACUUUUUUUCAUCAGUGUGACAAAAUACUCAGCAAAAGCAGUGUAAUGAAAGAAGGGUUUGUUUUACCUUACAGUUUGGGGGUAUAGUCCAUCAUGGCAGUGAAGAUAUGACCAACAAGCUUGAGGCAGCUGGUUGUAUUUCCUCUGCAGAUGGUUGUAUUUCCUCUGCAGAUGGAAAGCAGAG
ensembl:lncRNA